AGUUGUUAUUUUGGGCUUUAGUCAGCUGGGGAAAUUCAUAGUGGAAAAACAACCAAAGCUUCAGCACAGUUCAAAAGGAGCAGCACAGUUAUAUCCCAGACGUCACUUAUACAGUCAGCAGACAAUAUUUGGAGUACAAAUAGGGACUUCUUGCAAUAACUGCAGCUCAUGGGCAGGUAACAACUUGCUGAGACCAUACUGCCAGAGCAGUUCAGAGAAGGACACAUUUCCAAAGUCCCAUCUUCUCUACCAGGGUACAGGAGAAAAGAGCACCUAAAUUCUAUUGGAUUGGCGGAAAGUAGAAUGGAGGAAUCGUUGGAAGCAAAGGAACUUGGUCACAGGAGGCAAGUCUUUGGGAAGCCCAAAGGAUGUGUGGAUGGACACACGGGAUCUUAGUUCCCCAACCAGAGAUCAAACCCGCACCCCCUGCAGUGGAAGCAUGGAGUCUUAAUCACUGGACCACCAGGGAAGUCCCCUGUACUGUAUAUUUUGUAAUGCCUCUAGCAGGAUGUGGGCAGCAUUCUGUAUCCAAAUAUGUUGCUAUUUCUGCAAUGAAGUGUAUGGAUCAUGGAUCAUCAUACCAGGUCACCACUCUUCAGCACUGCAAUUACGCAUCAAGGGACAAAGGGAACAACUGAAGUCCAAGGCUGUGGUAGUGAUUUCUCAAUUGUCAUUGAGUGGUCACCCCCACAUCACACCGUUCUCCUAUGCGCGUAUGUCCUAGCUGAGCAGAAGAGCAGAAGAAGCAUGAGCCACUCCGUGCCCUGGCCUGUGUAGAAGGCCUCCAUGCUUGGCAAUCACUUACUCACCUUUCCAGAAUCCACUCAGGGCAGUACGACACAACAGUUACAGUUACUGAUGUUAGAAAGGCCUGGGUGCACGUCCCAGCCCUACAGCUUACCAGCAUGCAAACUUCUAUGAUAUUAAACCUCUCAGGGCUUUAGUUUCCUCACCUGUAAAAUGGGGGUAAUAAUAGCACUUGCCUUGUUGCUGUUGCAAGGAUUAAGCGAAUGAGCAUAUGUCAAGUACUGAGGAGGGAGCUGUCCUAGAAUGAGCACUUGAUAUUAUUCCUAUGGAAAAGCCCUUUCUGCCCCCAAGCAGCCACUCUCUUCUCUACCUUGUACACUUGCCUAUCUGAGCUCUUCUACCACUUUUUUCCUGUUUAUUUGCCAAUGUAUGUUUCUUGCUAUUAAACUCUGAGACCUUAAGAA